GAUGAACGCUGGCGGCGUGCUUAACACAUGCAAGUCGAACGAUGAAGGGAGCUUGCUCCUGGAUUAGUGGCGAACGGGUGAGUAACACGUGAGUAACCUGCCCUUGACUCUGGGAUAAGCCUGGGAAACUGGGUCUAAUACCGGAUAUGACCUUCCAUCGCAUGGUGGUUGGUGGAAAGCUUUUGUGGUUUUGGAUGGACUCGCGGCCUAUCAGCUUGUUGGUGGGGUAAUGGCCUACCAAGGCGACGACGGGUAGCCGGCCUGAGAGGGUGACCGGCCACACUGGGACUGAGACACGGCCCAGACUCCUACGGGAGGCAGCAGUGGGGAAUAUUGCACAAUGGGCGGAAGCCUGAUGCAGCGACGCCGCGUGAGGGAUGACGGCCUUCGGGUUGUAAACCUCUUUCAGUAGGGAAGAAGCGUAAGUGACGGUACCUGCAGAAGAAGCGCCGGCUAACUACGUGCCAGCAGCCGCCGCGGUAA
rnacentral:rRNA from 1 species